CCUACGGGAGGCAGCAGUAGGGAAUAUUGGGCAAUGGAGGGAACUCUGACCCAGCCAUGCCGCGUGCAGGAUGAAGGCGUUAUGCGUUGUAAACUGCUUUUAUAUAGGAAGAAAUAGUCCUUGCGAGGAAAGUUGACGGUACUAUAUGAAUAAGCACUGGCUAACUCCGUGCCAGCAGCCGCGGUAAUACGGAGGGUGCAAGCGUUGUCCGGAUUUAUUGGGUUUAAAGGGUGCGUAGGCGGUUUAUUAAGUCAGUGGUGAAAGACGGUCGCUCAACGAUUGCAGUGCCAUUGAUACUGGUAGACUUGAGUGGGAUUGAGGUAGCUGGAAUGGAUAGUGUAGCGGUGAAAUGCAUAGAUAUUAUCCAGAACACCAAUUGCGUAGGCAAGUUACUAAGUCUCAACUGACGCUGAGGCACGAAAGUGUGGGUAUCAAACAGGAUUAGAUACCCUGGUAGUCCACACUGUAAACGAUGAUAACUAACUGUUGGCUUUCGGGUCAGUGGUACAGAGAAAUCGUUAAGUUAUCCACCUGGGAGUACGCCGGCAACGGUGAACUCAAAUGAAUUGACGGCUGAGAGAGCGACGACGACGACGAGGGAGGAGG
rnacentral:rRNA from 1 species